AAAGCUGAACAAGGGUAAGUGAUUUGUUUCAAGAGUACAGUCACAAUCAUUAUUAGCUUGAACGUGUUGACUUGAUGAAAACAUAAACGGAUUCUUAGAUUAAGGUGAUUGCGGUAACAUUUCAGGAGGAAUGACUAGGGUUUGUUGUUUUUAAGGAACGUGGACAAAAGCCCACGUUUUUUCACGAGUACUUUUGGUACACCAUCGAUGUACCGUAUCUGCAACCCGAAACCCGACUUCUCCAUCUAGAGUCCUACGAUCGAGCCCCAAGUGACUGGAUCGAAGUAAACUAUGGUUGAAAGUAGUUUUAUUUCUUACAAUACGUAAAUCGCUGGGACAAGAAGCGCAAUCCAGUCUCGCCCCUCGUUGAACUCUGAAAUGAGUUUAGCUGCAUACUGUUUAAAGGAAAAUAUGAUUUUCAAAGG